UAUCUUUCCAUGAGGACCAUCUACAGUUGUUCUGAAUUAUAUCUUGCCACUGGCCCCAGACAGCUCCAGAGAAGAAAGUGAGGCUGAUGACUCUGCACAGUUCUGCCUCCCUUACAUCCAAUUCACUUAAAAGUGGUGGCAUCAUCUUCCACAGCCCUUGAGAACGAAGGACAAACAACAACAAGGUCCUUCCAUAGAUUUGCCACAGGGUGAAAAAAGUCUCUCCCCCAAAUUCUGAUAUAAUUGGAGGGGUAACCUAGGAAACUUGUCCACCAGUAUAUAGAUCUGGGGAAAACAGGACCAAUGGUCAGGAUCCAGCAAAGCUUAGGCACCCAAGACGCCAGGAAAGGAGAAACAGGAAGACUAGGAAAGAGCCAAAGAAAAGAACAUCUGCAUUGGCCUGACCCCUCCAUCCAUCCCCCUCUUCCUGAGGCUCAGGACUCACAGGGCUGGGCCUCCAAAGGGCAAUUCAGGCUCCCUGUUAAGGGCAAACACUUUGCUGUCUGCAGAAAUGCCUUGAACUCAGGGAAGAAGACCACUGAACACAAGCUAUGGGGCAGAGACACUGGCAUGCUCUGGACCUGGGGGACUAAGUCUGCAGGAGAGAUUUCCCCAACCACCCCUGUGUGUUACCACUUCAUUACAACUGUCACAACCCAUCCUGGAACAAUGGCUGGGGCAAAUUACUUAACCUCUCUAGUCCUGAAUUCCUUCCUGUAAAAUAAGAGGUCUGGACUUAAAUGACCUCCAAGAUCCUGGGACUCUCCAAUCCACUAGGGACCUUCCUCCAUUACAGCAUGCAAUCUAUUCAACUGGAGGCAGCUAGGCACUCAGUGACUAGAGAUCCAGGGCCAAAGUCAAAAAGACUCAAGUUCAGAUUUGACAUCAGACACACUUAUUAGCUAGGGGACUCUAGGCAAAGCACUUAACCUGGCUGCCUCAGUUUCCUCAACUGUAAAAUGGGGCUAAUAGCACCUACCUCCCAGGGUUAUUGUGAGGGUUAAAAAAGACAUUUAUAAAAGCACUUGGCACAGUGCCCAAAAUGUAGUAGGUACUUAAAUGUUCAUUCCCUCUUUUCCUUCCUGUUAUCCCUCACUCUAGGGUGGUGUGGUAGAGUGCCAGGUCUGUUGUAAGGAAGACCUGAGUUCAAAUUUGGCCUCAGAUACUUAUUAGCUAUGUGAUCCUGGGCAAGUCACUUAACCCUGUCUGCCUCAAUUUCCUCUUCUGUAAAAUGAGCUGGAGAAGGAACUGGCAAACAACUCCAGUAUUGUUGCCAAGAAAAUUCUAAAUGGGUCAUGAAUACAACUGAACAACAUUAUUUUAGGAUAUCUUCUGCAAUGCUAAAAUCUACUACUACAAAAGAAUCUAGAGGAAACUGAGUCAUGAAAUUUAACUAAAUUAAUUCAAUAUAAUAACACAGCAGUAGAUCUAUCUGGUCAGUCAUUAACAUUUAUUAAGCAUCUGUAUGCCAAGAAUUGUGCUAAGCACUGUGAAUACAAAGAACAAUAAAAGAUAGCCCUUGCCCUCUAGUAGCUAACA
rnacentral:lncRNA from 1 species